CAUAUGCAUGUUCUCGUCCAUGGGCUCAUACCCAGUCCAAAGGACUUUACCCCAGCUCCAUCUUUGCCCAGACACACUUGAGGCUGCAGGGUUUUGUUUGGAUGUGUGUCCCCUCCAACUCUCAUGUUAAAGUGUGAUCCCCAAUGUUGGAGGUGAGGCCUGGGGAGGUGUUUUGGUCAUGGGAGGAGAUUCCUCACAAAUGUCUUGGUGCCCUCCUCACAGUAAUAAGUGAGUUCUCACCCUGUUACUUUGUGCAAGAGCUGGUGACUUGAGUCUGACAUCUCUCCUGUUCUCUGUCUUGCCAUGUGACGUGACUGCUCCUCCUUUGCCUUC
rnacentral:lncRNA from 1 species